rnacentral:rRNA from 1 species
GAACGCAGCGAAAUGCGAUAAGUAAUGUGAAUUGCAGAAUUCAGUGAAUCAUCGAAUCUUUGAACGCACAUUGCGCCCGCCAGUAAUCUGGCGGGCAUGCCUGUUCGAGCGUCAUUACAACCCUCAGGCCCCCGGGCCUGGCGUUGGGGAUCGGCGGAAGCCCCCUGUGGGCACACGCCGUCCCUCAAAUACAGUGGCGGUCCCGCCGCAGCUUCUUUUGCGUAGUAGCUAACACCUCGCAACUGGAGAGCGGCGCGGCCAUGCCGUAAAACACCCAACUUCUGAACCUUGACCUCGAAUCAGGUUUGAAUACCCGCUGAACUUAAGCAUAUCAAUAAGCGGAGGAA